CGACCAUCAAGCCCUAUUUGCUUGGCGUUGGGAGCUUACCCUGCAGCUGCGGGAUAACUCCUCAAAUAUAUUGGCAGAGUCGCGAAGACCCUAAGCGUAGUAAUUCUUCUCGCUUCAGCAGUGUUGACGCUGGCAUCUAGCCACUAAACCCCUAAUUUUUAUAG
rnacentral:misc_RNA from 1 species